rnacentral:tRNA from 1 species
ACCUGGGUGGCUCAGUUGGUUAAGCUUCUGACUUCGGCUCAGGUCAUGAUCUCACACUGUGUGGGUUCGAGCCCCACAUCGGGCU